rnacentral:rRNA from 1 species
AGUAACACGGUGGGUAACCUGCCUCAGACGAGGGGGAUAGCCUUCCGAAAGGAAGAUUAAUACCGCAUAACAUAGUUUAGCCGCAUGGCUAGAUUAUCAAAGGAGUAAUCCGGUUUGAGAUGGACCCGCGGCGCAUUAGCUAGUUGGUGAGGUAACGGCUCACCAAGGCGACGAUGCGUAGCCGACCUGAGAGGGUGAUCGGCCACAUUGGAACUGAGAUACGGUCCAA